rnacentral:rRNA from 1 species
CUACAAAUGAAUUGACGGGGACCCGCACAAGCAGCGGAGCGUGUGGUUUAAUUCGUUGCUACACGAAGAACCUUACCUGGGUUUGACAUAUAGGUUGUAGGGAACUGAAAAGGGACCGACCCUUCGGGGAGCCUAUACAGGUGUUGCAUGGCUGUCGUCAGCUCGUGUCGUGAGAUGUUCGGUUAAGUCCGCUAACGAGCGCAACCCUCGUCGUAUGUUAUAUGUGUCAUACGAGACUGCCGGUAAAAAGCCGGAGGAAGGUGAGGAUGAUGUCAAGUCAGCAUGACCUUUAUAUCCAGGGCUACACACACGCUACAAUGGUCUGUACAAUGGGUAGCCAAGCCGCGAGGCGGAGCCAAUCCUGAAAGCAGGCCUCAGUUCAGAUUGCAGUCUGCAACUCGACUGCAUGAAGCCGGAGUUGCUAGUAACCGCAGGUCAGCAAUACUGCGGUGAAUACGUUCCCGGGUCUU